rnacentral:sRNA from 1 species
CGGAGGGGCGGGGCUGAGGCUGCGGGAGCUGGAGGAGGGAAGAAAAGGGAAUUCCAACCUGUGGAACCUUGGGGGGUCCCCGGGGUCGGCGCCUUCCCAUUGACUGUGGGCGGUGCAAGGGACGGAGCCUCUGGCGGCUCGUGGGGGUGUUGGGGUCCGCAGGGGGAGGGAGGGGAGUGUCAGAGUGUGAGUGGGGUACGGGAAUUCCAAAUUUGAGGGCCUCCCGGCUCUGGCGCCGGGGAGGGAGAGCUCAGGCCGCCAUGCGGGACAGGACCCACGAGCUGAGGCAGGGGGAUGACAGCUCGGACGAAGAGGACAAGGAGCGGGUCGCGCUGGUGUUGCACCCGGGCACGGCACGGCUGGGGAGCCCGGACGAGGAGUUCUUCCAGAAGGUCCGGACAAUUCGGCAGACUAUUGUCAAGCUGGGGAAUAAAGUCCAGGAGUUGGAGAAACAGCAGGUCACCAUCCUGGCCACGCCCCUUCCCGAGGAGGGUGAGUGACACCCCGGCUGCAGGGCGCAUGCUCCGCCCCAGGGAUUGUGGGGGUUGUAGUUCCACGCAGGUGGUGGUCAGGGUGGUUUGUUGAGGUGGGGGCUGCUGUUUGGGAGUCGUGGCCUUCUCUUAUUCAGGCAUGAAGCAGGAGCUGCAGAACCUGCGCGAUGAGAUCAAACAGCUGGGGAGGGAGAUCCGCCUGCAGCUGAAGGCCAUAGAGCCCCAGAAGGAGGAAGCUGAUGAGAACUAUAACUCCAUCAACACAAGAAUGAGAAAAACCCAGCAUGGGGUCCUGUCCCAGCAAUUCGUGGAGCUCAUCAACAAGUGCAAUUCAAUGCAGUCCGAAUACCGGGAGAAGAACGUGGAGCGGAUCCGGAGGCAGCUGAAGAUCAGUGAGUUGUGCGUGCCCAGCCUGGCCCACAGGGGCAGGUAAUCCCAACCCAGCCCUGAGCCUGGCCUUUUCCUUCACAGCCAAUGCUGGGAUGGUGUCUGACGAGGAGCUGGAGCAGAUGCUGGACAGUGGGCAAAGCGAGGUGUUUGUGUCCAAUAUCCUGAAGGACACGCAGGUGACUCGACAGGCCUUAAAUGAGAUCUCGGCCCGGCACAGUGAGAUCCAGCAGCUUGAACGCAGUAUUCGUGAGCUGCACGACAUCUUCACUUUUCUGGCUACUGAAGUGGAGAUGCAGGGGGAGAUGAUCAAUCGGAUUGAGAAGAACAUCCUGAGCUCAGCGGACUACGUGGAACGCGGGCAAGAGCACGUCAAGACGGCCCUGGAGAACCAGAAGAAGGCGAGGAAGGUGAGCCUCCCAGGCCCGGCCACUGUCCCAGGCACCCUGUGUGUCUUCCCUGACCCCCUCCUCUCCCACAGAAGAAAGUCUUGAUUGCCAUCUGUGUGUCCAUCACCGUCGUCCUCCUAGCAGUCAUCAUUGGCAUCACAGUGGUUGGAUAA